UGAAACGUGCACACAACGCGCACGUCCCAUCCAUGUACGUGGUGUGAGGUCAAACCCUGCGCACAUCGUGUAACACGCAAGUGGGCUGUCCGCACGUCACCUUGCAUGAGGACAGACGCUGCACAUGGUGCGCACGCUUUCUAUGCAGUAGGCUUGUGCGGAAAGGCCCCUGUGCGUGUGCACACUAGCCCCUGGGCACGCACAGGCUAGCCCCAGUGCAUGCAGCAGGAGACCUGUGUGCUUGCAGGAGAGCAUGCAGCGUGCCGGGUGGGCCACUACCACCUCGGAGUGCGCUGCCGUCGCCUUAGGCAACACGCCGCCGUUGCCUAUGGAAGAAACCUUCCUUUCUCAAUUUUUGUUCUAAGCAUCUUUUUCCUCUCUCUCUUCGCCAGAUUUUGUCACUUGGCAUGAAUCCAACGAUUUCUAAUUUCUAUAAAUAGGU
rnacentral:lncRNA from 1 species